rnacentral:lncRNA from 1 species
AGUGCCCCCAUGAAAAUGUGAUCCCUACCUUGAAUGCUGUGAAGUGGAAUCUAGAAUAGAGCAAAGCAGGCCCAAGCUUAAUAACAGGAAAAAAACUUUAUUAAACUACUACUACAAAAGAAAAGAGAAAACUAAAGAAGGGGAAAAAAAAACCACACAAAGAUCCAAAUGAAAACCUUCCUCCCCCAACCACCCAACUCCAACAAACCACAGUGAGACACAAUCUGGACCCCAAUCAGGUUUCCACCGUCCAAGCAAUCGAUACUCAGUCCAUCGAGGGAACAGAGUCUCUCCUGUGCCACAGACCCCCCCAAGAAACACAGCUCCACAUCCUGUGUUUCCAUGUCACACAUGGCACCGCCCGGAGAAAAAGUUUGCCAUGGUGACCCUUCUCCUUUCCAUGCACAGUGCUCUCACCACAAUGCAUGGAUGGACAGACUGCCUUUAGGAUUUUUUUCCUUUCAAGGAUGCCCUGCCAAGAGGGGAGAAAACAACAGUUCAGUUUUUCAUUGUUUGGGACCACAGUCCCCCCCCAUUUUCCCCUGGGGCCGAGGGCUCAAGAACAGAGAUCUUCUUCUCUUCUCUUUCCUUUCCAGGGCAAGGCGGCGCCACCACAAACCCCCUAACCUUUUCUCUGUUCACUCCACUUUUGUCUUUUUCCCAGCUGAAGCAGGUCUCUUGACUCACUGGCAUCCUCCCAAAACACAGUCCCUCUUGAAGGAGAAGAUUUGGUUCAGGUUGUGGCUAACACAGAAAAGUCCAGCCAAAAGCCACUCCUUGUCCCCCUCCCAUCCAGAAUUCCUCCUCCCAACAUCCCAUCCCAGGGUCCAAGGUGUCCCUCUUCCUCUCUUUCAAACCAAGGAGAGGAAGGAAAAAUUCACAAAGCUUGCAUUUCUCAAGGAAGGGUUAAAAGUCCGAACUCCCAGGAUGGCUCAAUGCCCAGACAUCCAGCAACUCCCACGCAACUGGGCACCUUGCAUCUCCUCCCCCCCCCUUCCCCCCUCCCCCCCCGCCGCUGACUGCCGCUAUCUCUUUUUUCUCUCCCUCUCGGGAGAGAAACUCUGGGGGGGGGGGAAUGGAGACAUCCCAGAUUUCUUCCACCCUUCCAUCUGCAGGGGCCAGCCCGGUUCCAGUCCUUUCACCACCCUUGGGGCUUUCGGCCUACCUUUCUCAGGCCAUGGGGCUUCCCCUCCCCCACCCAGCUCGUGGCUGGGCAGGGAAGGUUUGCACUGCACGCUGACCAGAACCAAAGAGAGCGAGUUCCCCUGGGAAUUCUGCUUUCAACCCCUCUAUGUUCUCAGAGGCGUGUCUACUUUCAAUUGGUCAAUAUCUAAAUUGACCUCUUCCUUCCGGAAAAAUUCUCUUUCCAUGUCAAACCACGACACUCAUGGAGUCCCCAGCCCCUGAAAAGAUUCUGAAGAACAAGGGA